rnacentral:lncRNA from 1 species
CCACCAUACUCACAGUACCCUAUGUAUCCACCCCCUCCCUACCAUCCAAAUCCAGCAGACCCUACCUCGGGGAAUGUUGUACCUCCUCCACCCCCAGCAGAACCCACAGUUCCAGAAACCCACAUACCUAAACCUAGCUCAUCUGGAGGGAGCAAGGUGAAGAUGACCGACUACAUGAAGCUUGGUGCUCCUCAGUAUGACAAAGGGGA